rnacentral:misc_RNA from 1 species
GGGAGGUGAUCAUUGAGUAUUUGGAUAGCAUUCAAGCUUAAGAUUUUCUACACAAUAGUGCUACUGUCAGUGAAGUUGCUUUGACCUAAAUCAACAACAAGAAAUUCUAUCAUAGAACAGGAGAGCAAAGAAAGGCAAAGGUUACACAUAAGUCAUACUGCUAUCAUCUCACUAGUAGUUUUGCAGAUCAUACGCAGGUUAUCUUCUGCACCAAGAGAAGGACCCAUCAUCUGAUGCCUUUACUAAAUUUGCUCUUCAGGUCUUCCUGUAAUUGCUGGAAUAUAACAGAAAAUACCCCUGGUACAGGGAUCUCUUUCUGGAGCAAUAAUCCUUUCACCAGAAGUGUCCCUGGUAUCUGCUGGAAGACAGAAACGCAGAGAUGCAUGUCAUUCAGUUGGUCAGAGGGACAAUUUGCAGAUAUCAAUAUAUCCUGG